UACAGAGGUCUCGAGCGUUGUUCGGAUUUAUUGGGCGUAAAGCGUGCGUAGGCGGCGGGGUAAGUGAGGUGUGAAAUCCCGGAGCUUAACUCCGGAACUGCACUUUAUACUGCCUUGCUCGAGGGCUGGAGAGGAGACUGGAAUUUACGGUGUAGCAGUGAAAUGCGUAGAGAUCGUAAGGAAGACCAGUGGCGAAGGCGAGUCUCUGGAAAGCUGCUGACGCUGAGGCACGAAGGCCAGGGGAGCAAACGGG
rnacentral:rRNA from 1 species